UGUCAGAAGGUCCAGGAUAGCCCACUGC
rnacentral:piRNA from 1 species